rnacentral:rRNA from 1 species
AACGAACGCUGGCGGCGUGGAUAAGACAUGCAAGUCGAACGGGACUAAAUCUGUAGCAAUACAGGUUUAGUUUAGUGGCGAACGGGUGCGUAACACGUGGGCAAUCUGCCGAGAAGUGGGGGAGUAGCUCGCCGAAAGGACGAAUUAAUACCGCAUAUGAUCAGUGAAGACAUCUUCACGACAUCAAAGACCGGGGCGAACCUGGCGCUUCUUGAUGAGCCCGCCGGCCUAUCAGCUAGUUGGUGAGGUAACGGCUCACCAAGGCUAUGACGGGUAGCUGGUCUGAGAGGACGACCAGUCACACUGGAACUGAGACACGGUCCAGACACCUACGGGUGGCAGCAGUCGAGAAUUUUUCUCAAUGGGGGCAACCCUGAAGGAGCGA